UGGUUUAGACUUUUCUUACAGGUCCCGAUGGCAGACGCGAUCCCCUCGACUCCAGCUUCUCCGGCAUCGGCGAAAUUCUACACCAACAGAAUUGACGCUAGAGGAAGGGCCUAUGUCUUCGCAGUACCCUUGUUCUUAAAGGAGUACUCAGCAGGAUUGUCUUCAGUCAUCUUCUUCGAUAUUUUCUCUUUCUUCUCCCACCAGAUCUCCACCUGAUGCCUCCCCGAAAGGCAUCCACUAGGCGAUCCAUGACCUCCCGGUCAGAUCUCAACAAGACCCACAAGCUCUGGCCUCGUCUCUAGUUUUUCAGGCUCCUCCACCUCCGACAAUGGCAGUCGACAUGGAAAAAUUUGACUUGCUGGUUUAGCAGGUCAGGGGCCUCACCGAAGUAGUACAGGCCAUGCAGC
rnacentral:lncRNA from 1 species